rnacentral:rRNA from 1 species
UACGGAGGAUCCGAGCGUUAUCCGGAUUUAUUGGGUUUAAAGGGAGCGUAGGCGGGUUGUUAAGUCAGUUGUGAAAGUUUGCGGCUCAACCGUAAAAUUGCAGUUGAUACUGGCAUCCUUGAGUGCAGAAGAGGAGAGUGGAACUCCAUGUGUAGCGGUGAAAUGCGUAGAUAUAUGGAAGAACACCAGUGGCGAAAGCGGCUCUCUGGUCUGUAACUGACGCUGAGGUUCGAAAGCGUGGGUAGCAAACAGG